CGAUUUUCCUCUGACAUUUCACAGAUAUUUGGUGACAUCACAAAAAUUCGCAUCACAAAGAUCCGCACUGACUUAAAACACCUCUUUGUCUUAUUUUGUCAUAAAUUGUUCACUCCUUUUAUUUGAUUGCAAAGAAAUUUUCAGAACAAACAGAAAGAUGCUUUAAAGAGGAGGUAUUUCUUGUCUACCUCUUGAAUAAAAUUUAAACUCAUGUGAAUACGGCCGCAAAGCUCACAGUAGUUGAAAUUUUCUAGAUUAAAAGACUUUUUUAGCAAAUAAAUCUACUGAAUUGACCCGAUUUGCUCAUCAAUAAGGUAUGCAACUAGUGUGUUUACGGCCCUCGCUUCGCUCUGGCCGCAAAGUUCACACUCGUUGAUUUUUUUUCUAGCAUAGACAGCAAGAAAUCACUCAUAGAAGUCUUUUCAGAACAAAUCAUAGAUUAUUGAUCCAUCAUUUUCCAUUAACGUUAACUUCGUUAGUAAUUUCAG